rnacentral:rRNA from 1 species
CCAGACUCCUACGGGAGGCAGCAGUGGGGGAUAUUGCACAAUGGGGGAAACCCUGAUGCAGCGACGCCGCGUGAGUGAAGACGGCCUUCGGGUUGUAAAGCUCCGUCAAUCGGGACGAAGAAGAUGACGGUACCGAUGAAGGAAGCUCCGGCUAACUACGUGCCAGCAGCCGCGGUAAUACGUAGGGAGCAAGCGUUGUCCGGAAUUACUGGGCGUAAAGGGCGCGUAGGUGGGCGCUUAAGUCAGGUGUGAAAACUCCGGGCUCAACCUGGAGACUGCACUUGAAACUGGGUGUCUUGAGGGCAGGAGAGGAAAGUGGAAUUCCUAGUGUAGCGGUGAAAUGCGUAGAUAUUAGGAGGAACACCAGUGGCGAAGGCGACUUUCUGGACUGUACCUGACGCUGAGGCGCGAAAGCGUGGGUAGCGAACGGGAUUAGAUACCCUAGUAG